rnacentral:misc_RNA from 1 species
GACGGAGGGUGCAAGCGUUGUUCGGAAUUACUGGGCGUAAAGCGUACGUAGGCGGCGGGUUAAGUCGAAUGUUAAAGCCGGAGGCUCAACCUCCGAGAUGCAUUCGAUACUGGCUCGCUAGAGGGUGAUAGAGGAAAGCGGAAUUCCCAGUGUAGCGGUGAAAUGCGUAGAUAUUGGGAGGAACAUCAGUAGCGAAGGCGGCUUUCUGGGUCACACCUGACGCUGAGGUACGAAAGCGUGGGGAGCAAACGGG